UGGGUAACCUGCCCUUCACUCUGGGAUAACUCCGGGGAAACCGGGGCUAAUACUGGAUAUGACUCGAACAGGCAUCUGUUUCGGGUGGAAAGAUUUAUUGGUGGAGGAUGGACUCGCGGCCUAUCAGCUUGUUGGUGAGGUAAUGGCUCACCAAGGCGACGACGGGUAGCCGGCCUGAGAGGGCGAUCGGCCACACUGGGACUGAGACACGGCCCAGACCUCCGUACGGGGAGCA
rnacentral:rRNA from 1 species